rnacentral:tRNA from 1 species
ACCUGGGUGGCUCAGUCGGUUAAGCGUCUGACUUCGGCUCAGGUCAUGAUCUCGCGGUCCGUGGGUUCGAGACCCACGUCGGGCU